rnacentral:rRNA from 1 species
AAUAGAUACCCCGGUAGUCCACGCUGUAAACGAUGAGUGCUAGGUGUUGGGGGGUUCCACCCUCAGUGCUGAAGUUAACACAUUAAGCACUCCGCCUGGGGAGUACGACCGCAAGGUUGAAACUCAAAGGAAUUGACGGGGGCCCGCACAAGCAGUGGAGCAUGUGGUUUAAUUCGAAGCAACGCGAAGAACCUUACCAGGUCUUGACAUCCUUUGACCACUCUAGAGAUAGAGCUUUCCCCUUCGGGGGACAAAGUGACAGGUGGUGCAUGGUUGUCGUCAGCUCGUGUCGUGAGAUGUUGGGUUAAGUCCCGCAACGAGCGCAACCCUUGACCUUAGUUGCCAGCAUUCAGUUGGGCACUCUAAGGUGACUGCCGGUGACAAACCGGAGGAAGGUGGGGAUGACGUCAAAUCAUCAUGCCCCUUAUGACCUGGGCUACACACGUGCUACAAUGGAUGAUACAAAGGGUUGCGAAGCCGCGAGGCCAAGCCAAUCCCAAAAAGUCAUUCUCAGUUCGGAUUGUAGGCUGC